GACCCAUUUCAAGCCCAUCACGGCGAAGGGGGAAGGGUUCAUGAGCUCCCACCAUUAACUGAGGAGCUCUGGACAGUUGGUCGCUUCUGGGAUAAAGAGAGUCCGUUUUCUUUAAAUGUGUAGACCAUGGUAUGUUCAGGUGAGACACAGCAGCAGGCAGAGCUGUGCCCACCGAGGGAUCACUAGCCCUGAACCUCUAAGGAUGGUGGUGAGCCUCUAGUCAUGGCUGGGUUGUUUGCAGGCUUCAGUUUCCACUGAAACAAGAUGAAUUAAGAGAGACAUUGGAUCUGAUUGAACAGGAAAAAGCAUCUGUCAAAGAAUAAUUCUUAAUAUGUACUGUGUGGGAAUUGCCCAGAGCCCAUUUUUAUGUUCCGAAGAGCUGCACCAAGAUACCUGAUGCUUUAAAAAGCUGUUUACAAUGUUUUUCUUAGGAAAUUUUAGAGUUAUGUUU
rnacentral:lncRNA from 1 species